UCUUGGUUGUAAAUUCAAUAGCAUUUACCGGAGUACUAUGAAUUAAAUAAAAUUUAAAACUCAAAGGACUUGGCGGUGUUUUAGACCUUUUAGGGGAACCUGUCCCGUAAUCGACAGUCCGCGUUACACCUAACCUUCUUUUGCAAACAGUUUGUAUAUCGUCGUCGCCAGGUAACUUUUUAAAAUAUAAAAGUUAGCAAUAUAAACUUUAUUAGUUAGGACGUCAGAUCAACAUGCAGCCUAUAAAAAGGUGAGGAUGGGUUACAAUUAUUAAAUUUAUAAUACGAAUAAAUAUAUGAAUAAUUAUUUAUGAAGGAGGACUUAAAAGUAAAGUAAAUUAUAUAAACAACUUGAAUAAGGCUCUGAGACGUGC
rnacentral:rRNA from 1 species